GCCACUGACCCGCGAGAUUACUCGGUCCCUCAGCUCCUGAUUAUGUGCUGUUACAUUCUUAUUUUAAACUAAUAUGAGCUGUGACAUGUCAACGGAGAACAGAUGCUGGAGUGUGAACACAGAGGAAGGGGCAGACUGUAUAUCAGAUCAAGCACACGUUUUUCAGGGAAAACAGGCACCCAACACAGAGACUACAGUGGCACAAGAAAAGGGGAAUAGGACUUGUCACCAUCAUCAGUCCUUUAUUUCAUUCACUGGAGAACAUCACAACCUUCAGAUGUGUCCUAUCAGGAUAAAUGCUGCUGCAGGGGAAAUUAUAUGAAGAUUCUCCAAGGAUCCAGCUGAAGCCCCGUUCACACUACAAGUGACACGCAACGUCAAAGCAACACGAUCCCAUUCAUUUCAAUGGAGAGCUGGUGAUUUCCGGCGACAAGAGCAACAGAGGCCGUUGGUGACCAGAUGACACGACAAAGUUCAGAAUCCUUCAACUUUAUGCAAAUGAAGAGCGACUUUCAGGAGCGACAGCCAGUAGGAAAGAAGAUGGUAGUUCUCCUCUCAGCCGUAGAUGAACAUACGCAAUGGGAAAAACGGCAAGAAACCUGAUUCGCUGUGAAGGCAACCAGUAGUGAGAACGCCCAAGCAACCUCAUCGCCAGCCCGUGAACGCAGCUUGAUUACUGGCCACUUGGAGGAGGAUUGUCCUUUAUCUGCUACACUGCACUGUCACUUCUGGGGAGGGCAGCAUCCUCAUACAUCAUCUUCCUGACAGUUUAAAAUGUCCUUUUUUUAAUUAUUAUUUUUAGUAUCACCAUGA